UNUUAGGCUCACUGUUCUUGUCCUCUGG
rnacentral:piRNA from 1 species